rnacentral:rRNA from 2 species
GUANGCUGGCGGNGGCCUAACACAUGCAAGUCGAGCGGUAGCACAGAGAGCUUGCUCUCGGGUGACGAGCGGCGGACGGGUGAGUAAUGUCUGGGAAACUGCCUGAUGGAGGGGGAUAACUACUGGAAACGGUAGCUAAUACCGCAUAAUGUCGCAAGACCAAAGUGGGGGACCUUCGGGCCUCAUGCCAUCAGAUGUGCCCAGAUGGGAUUAGCUAGUAGGUGGGGUAACGGCUCACCUAGGCGACGAUCCCUAGCUGGUCUGAGAGGAUGACCAGCCACACUGGAACUGAGACACGGUCCAGACUCCUACGGGAGGCAGCAGUGGGGAAUAUUGCACAAUGGGCGCAAGCCUGAUGCAGCCAUGCCGCGUGUGUGAAGAAGGCCUUCGGGUUGUAAAGCACUUUCAGCGGGGAGGAAGGCGUUAAGGUUAAUAACCUUGGCGAUUGACGUUACCCGCAGAAGAAGCACCGGCUAACUCCGUGCCAGCAGCCGCGGUAAUACGGAGGGUGCAAGCGUUAAUCGGAAUUACUGGGCGUAAAGCGCACGCAGGCGGUCUGUCAAGUCGGAUGUGAAAUCCCCGGGCUCAACCUGGGAACUGCAUUCGAAACUGGCAGGCUAGAGUCUUGUAGAGGGGGGGUAGAAUUCCAGGUGUAGCGGUGAAAUGCGUAGAGAUCUGGAGGAAUACCGGUGGCGAAGGCGGCCCCCUGGACAAAGACUGACGCUCAGGUGCGAAAGCGUGGGGAGCAAACAGGAUUAGAUACCCUGGUAGUCCACGCCGUAAACGAUGUCGAUUUGGAGGUUGUGCCCUUGAGGCGUGGCUUCCGGAGCUAACGCGUUAAAUCGACCGCCUGGGGGAGUACGGCCGCAAGGUUAAAACUCAAAUGAAUUGACGGGGGCCCGCACAAGCGGUGGAGCAUGUGGUUUAAUUCGAUGCAACGCGAAGAACCUUACCUGGUCUUGACAUCCACAGAACUUAGCAGAGAUGCUUUGGUGCCUUCGGGAACUGUGAGACAGGUGCUGCAUGGCUGUCGUCAGCUCGUGUUGUGAAAUGUUGGGUUAAGUCCCGCAACGAGCGCAACCCUUAUCCUUUGUUGCCAGCGGUUAGGCCGGGAACUCAAAGGAGACUGCCAGUGAUAAACUGGAGGAAGGUGGGGAUGACGUCAAGUCAUCAUGGCCCUUACGACCAGGGCUACACACGUGCUACAAUGGCAUAUACAAAGAGAAGCGACCUCGCGAGAGCAAGCGGACCUCAUAAAGUAUGUCGUAGUCCGGAUUGGAGUCUGCAACUCGACUCCAUGAAGUCGGAAUCGCUAGUAAUCGUAGAUCAGAAUGCUACGGUGAAUACGUUCCCGGGCCUUGUACACACCGCCCGUCACACCAUGGGAGUGGGUUGCAAAAGAAGUAGGUAGCUUAACCUUCGGGAGGGCGCUUACCACUUUGNAUCANAUCGG